rnacentral:rRNA from 1 species
AUUGAACGCUGGCGGCAGGCCUAAUACAUGCAAGUCGAACGGUAACAUAAAAGAAGCUUGCUUCUUUUGAUGACGAGUGGCGGACGGGUGAGUAAUAUUUGGGAAACUACCUGAUAGAGGGGACGAACAGUUGGAACGACUGCUAAUACCGCAUAAGCGCACAGUACCGCAUGGUACAGUGUGAAAAACUACCGGUGGUGUGAGAUGGACCCGCGUCUGAUUAGCUAGUUGGUAGGGUAACGGACCUACCAAGGCGACGAUCAGUAGCCGGUCUGAGAGGAUGAACGGCCACAUUGGGACUGAGACACGGCCCAAACUCCUACGGGA